GACGAACGCUGGCGGCGUGCUUAACACAUGCAAGUCGAACGGAAAGGCCCUGCUUUUGUGGGGUGCUCGAGUGGCGAACGUGUGAGUAACACGUGAGUAACCUGCCCUUGACUUUGGUAUAACUUCAGGAAACUGGGGCUAAUACCGGAUAGGAGCUCCUGCUGCAUGGUGUGGGUUGGAAAGUUUCGGCGGUUGGGGAUGGACUCGCGGCUUAUCAGCUUGUUGGUGGGGUAGUGGCUUACCAAGGCUUUGACGGGUAGCCGGCCUGAGAGGGUGACCGGCCACAUUGGGACUGAGAUACGGCCCAGACUCCUACGGGAGGCAGCAGUGGGGAAUAUUGCACAAUGGGCGGAAGCCUGAUGCAGCAACGCCGCGUGCGGGAUGACGGCCUUCGGGUUGUAAACCGCUUUCGCCUGUGACGAAGCGUGAGUGACGGUAAUGGGUAAAGAAGCACCGGCUAACUACGUG
rnacentral:rRNA from 1 species